rnacentral:rRNA from 1 species
UGGGGAAUUUUGGACAAUGGGCGCAAGCCUGAUCCAGCAAUGCCGCGUGCAGGAUGAAGGCCUUCGGGUUGUAAACUGCUUUUGUACGGAACGAAAAAGCUCUCUCUAAUACAGGGGGUGAAUGACGGUACCGUAAGAAUAAGCACCGGCUAACUACGUGCCAGCAGCCGCGGUAAUACGUAGGGUGCAAGCGUUAAUCGGAAUUACUGGGCGUAAAGCGUGCGCAGGCGGUUUUGUAAGACAGAUGUGAAAUCCCCGGGCUUAACCUGGGAACUGCGUUUGUGACUGCAAGGCUGGAGUACGGCAGAGGGGGGUGGAAUUACACGUGUAGCAGUGAAAUGCGUAGAGAUGUGGAGGAACACCGAUGGCGAAGGCAGCCCCCUGGGCCUGUACUGACGCUCAUGCACGAAAGCGUGGGGAGCAAACA